rnacentral:rRNA from 1 species
UACGUAGGGUGCAAGCGUUAAUCGGAAUUACUGGGCGUAAAGCGUGCGCAGGCGGUUGUGCAAGACAGAUGUGAAAUCCCCGGGCUCAACCUGGGAACUGCAUUUGUGACUGCACGGCUAGAGUGUGUCAGAGGGGGGUAGAAUUCCACGUGUAGCAGUGAAAUGCGUAGAUAUGCGGAGGAACACCGAUGGCGAAGGCAAUCCCCUGGGCCUGCACUGACGCUCAUGCACGAAAGCGUGGGGAGCAAACGGG